rnacentral:rRNA from 1 species
CGGCGUCGAGCGGCGGACGGGUGAGUAAUGCCUAGGAAAUUGCCCUGAUGUGGGGGAUAACCAUUGGAAACGAUGGCUAAUACCGCAUGAUGCCUACGGGCCAAAGAGGGGGACCUUCGGGCCUCUCGCGUCAGGAUAUGCCUAGGUGGGAUUAGCUAGUUGGUGAGGUAAGGGCUCACCAAGGCGACGAUCCCUAGCUGGUCUG